rnacentral:lncRNA from 1 species
AUUUCAAGAUAUCGAUUUAGUACCUUUGCCCAACAAAUGUCAUUGGUGUUUGGCCAUUUGACAAAGACAUCAUUCUGCUGUCCUCUUUCAAAUGCAGGCUGUGUAUGAAGAAAUGUGUUACAAGAAACAUAUUAUUAUUCAACUCAUUUGCAAGAAGAACAUAAAGAGGAAGGAAAGUAACAUGGGCAAGGAGAGGAAGCGAGAAAAAUAACUUCAUACAAUUUUCUUGUCCCCAGUUAGAUAUCACAUAUUUGGUAAGCAAUCUACUUAAUAUUUUUAUAACAUUUUGAAAUUUGUGUCACAUCGUAGAAUUCCAACUUGAUGUUUAUCAGCUUGAAACAGUCCACUGAGUAACAUCUAUU